ACUGUAGGCACACACUAAAAAAUGCUGGGUUAUUUAAUCUACCCAACCGCUGGGUUAUGAAAUGCUUUACCCAUUAUGGGUUAUUUAUAUGGAAUUUGGGUUAUUUUGUGCAACUCUUGCGUUGAGUCAAAAUCCAUCAACCCAACUUAUAUCGGUUGACCCAGCACGUGGGUUGUUUGUGCUUCGAACCUCAUCACCUCAUCAUCACCAGAGUCCACACACCGAGCGCUCGUCACAGCAGAGAACCUGACUGACUGGUCAUGCAGCGAGGCCAAUAAAUAAUAAAAGAUAUCAAAAAGGCACUGGCAUCGGGUUUGGUUCAGUCAUUUGCCUGUUUGAAAGACUCCUCAAGCAGUGGCAGCGAAAUAUGGUACACCCCAGGACGGAGCCAACGGCCAGCCACUGGAUUCCUGGAGGAAAGGCUGCAGAAUGUCAGGAAGCGGCUGAGAUCAACCAGCAAGUCGCGGAGCAUGGCACAGACGACACCAGCACAAAUGCCAAAUGAUGGCGCUCUUGCCAGGGCUCUCAUACCAGAAUGUACCAUAUCAGAUGAAUGUGCGUCACAGUUUAAAGAAUGGUUGAGAAACAAUUCUCAGCCCCUCAGCCAGAUAGAGACCUACAUGCAGAACACAGCAGUCUACAGGGCCAAGAGGAUUAGGGACAACAAUUGGACCAUCGAUCAGAUCCUCGAAGAGUUCCCUCGCUUAAUGACCAAAGGCAUGAUUGCACAGGACUUUCUUGUCCUAUAUGGGGAUGCUGCAUCAAAGUUGUUUGAAACUUGGCUACCCAUUUAUGCUGAGAAGAUCCUGUACCUGGCAAGACAGGAGGGGAAGCUAACAUUGCCCCUGGAUGGAUUAACACCAGAUGGUGUUGGGGAACUCGCCCUGAGACAGUUGCCAGCCUUGCUUCCACCUACAACUUACAAAGUUGGCCGUGGACGCGGUGUGAAAGUAGUUCGCCACACCAUUCAGGAAUGCAGCUUGGCCUUCAUCAACCAUAAGCCUCCUGGAAUAAACAUGGUGUACCAUGAGGCCAAGGCAUGCAAGCCAUACCCCCACAUCCUGACACUGGGAAAUGAUCAGAGUGCAUUUCAGGCCUUCGUCAUAAUAGCUGGACAGGCCCUGGAACAAGAAACACUGCUUCAGGCCAUUGAUGUCUGCUUCAAGGCAUUCUUCAUCUUUGUGCCCAUUGUGAACAUGUGUGGGAAUUCAUACAGAAUGUGAUAUAUGAACUCCCAGGAGGGGAGUCUAAAAUGGUUAAGUUUAUUAAAACUAGAAUACUCGCUUGCAAGUAGAGCUAAUGGCUCUUAAAAGCAGCAUUUAGGAAUUUGAAUUUGUUCAAUAUAGAGCUGCUGACUUUUGGCCUGUGGAAUGUUCAGCCAGUUCAAUCGAAAUUGUUGUUUUGCUCUGAAUGUUUUCCAACCUGAGUGAACUGCACCAGUUCCACUAUAUUGUCGAUAUUAAUGUAAUAAAUUUUUUCAAAGAUUCCA
ensembl:lncRNA